rnacentral:rRNA from 1 species
GCCCCUAAUUCAUGGCUAAGUGGGAAAGCAGGUGGGACGACCAAAACAACCAGGAGGUUGGCUUAGAAGCAGCCAUCCUUUAAAGAAAGCGUAACAGCUCACUGGUCUAAAUAAGUUGUCCGGCGCCGAAGAUUUAACGGGGCUAAACAAUACACCGAAGCUUUGGACACAAUUUAUUGUGUGGUAGCGGAGCGUUCCGUACGUUGUUGAAGGGAGACUCGUGAGAGCUCCUGGAGAUAUCGGAAGUGAGAAUGCUGACAUGAGUAGCGACAAAAAGUGUGAGAAACACUUUCGCCGAAAAUCCAAGGGUUCCUGCGCAAGGCUAAUCCGCGCAGGGUGAGUCGGCUCCUAAGGCGAGGUCGAAAGACGUAGUCGAUGGGAAACAGGUUAAUAUUCCUGUACCUGAUGAGAUGUGACGGAUGACGUAUAUUGUAUACCCUUAUAAUGAUUGGGUGUGCAGUGAAGUUGUUCCAGGAAAUAGCCUCAUCAUUAAAGACCGUACCCGAAACCGACACAGGUGGAUAGGUAGAAUAUACCAAGGCGCUUGAGAGAACUAUGUUGAAGGAACUCGGCAAAAUACCUCCGUAACUUCGGGAGAAGGAGGACCUAUGUUUGGGCAACCAGAUGUAGGUGGCACAGAAAUGGGGGUAGCAACUGUUUAUUAAAAACACAGGACUCUGCAAAGCCGCAAGGCGAAGUAUAGGGUCUGACGCCUGCCCGGUGCCGGAAGAUUAAAGUGAGUGGUGCAAGCUACGAGCUGAAGUCCCGGUGAACGGCGGCCGUAACUAUAACGGUCCUAAGGUAGCGAAAUUCCUUGUCGGGUAAGUUCCGACCUGCACGAAUGGCGUAAUGAUUUCCCCGCUGUCUCCAGCAUAGACUCAGCGAAAUUGAAUUCUCCGUGAAGAUGCGGAGUACCCGCGGUUAGACGGAAAGACCCCGUGCACCUUUACUAUAGCUUUACAUUGGUGUUAGAAAUUACAUGUGUAGGAUAGGUGGUAGACUUUGAAGUAAGGGCGCCAGCUCUUAUGGAGUCAUCCUUGAAAUACCACUCUUGUAAUUUUUGACAUCUAACUGAGGCCCAUUAUCUGGGUCCAAGACAGUGUAUGGUGGGUAGUUUGACUGGGGCGGUCGCCUCCUAAAAAGUAACGGAGGCGUGCGAAGGUAGGCUCAAGCUGGUCGGAAAUCAGCUGUUGAGUGCAAUGGCAUAAGCCUGCCU